GGGACCUAGGGCCUCAGGAAGUGAGCAAAUCAUCCUAAGGUGCAAGUAAGCACCAAGGAAAGGGCAAGGCUCAGGAUACAGCAUGGUGCUCAAGUAGAAAAGCCUCCAGCCAGUAAAUCACUGUUCCUUGAAAACGUCCCAGUCUCGGGGACUAAGACAGUGCCUGAUUCUGCCUGGGAGAAGAGAGUGGUGAAGAAACAAGGGAAGAGGAUCACAACGAAUAUCACAAAGGAAGAUAAGCGACCCCGACUUAGAGGUAACCUGUACCUGGCCUGGACAAGAGAAGAGGACUCAGGACCCCAGGAUAAGGGAUCUUCAGGGACCUCCAGUGACACAGAAGCCUCCAGCCACUGUCCUAAACCUUUGACCACCUGGAUUCCAGGAGAAAUGGACACCUUAGAACUGAGGCCACCCAGAAGGACAGUCCUUUCCUGGGAACAGAGCCAUCCCUUAGCUAUGAGGACCUAUGGUUCCAGGACUGAGUGAGUAAUGACUGACCAGACCCCAGCCCACCAGCUUCCUCUGGAAAAGCUGGCUUCUGCUUCUGCGAGUGGAUCAGACUGUGCCCCCUCCUGCUCCCUAGGCUUGGGACCUUUCCUGUGUUCCCUCUAACUUUCCAAUUUCAGCCUUUCCCCUCUAAGUCUGUGCUUUAAUUUUAAUUUCCAUUUCUACUAAAGCAAGGAAGGACCCAUGCUAGCUAGUGACUCAUUGACCUAGGACACACCAAUGUGGCAGGCAGAAUUUUAAGA